rnacentral:tRNA from 1 species
GGGCAUGUGGCGAAGUGGCUAACGCAUCAGUCCGCAAAACUGACAUUCAUCAGUUCAAGUCUGAUCAUGCCCU